rnacentral:rRNA from 1 species
AUACGGAGGGUGCAAGCGUUGUUCGGAUUUACUGGGCGUAAAGAGCGUGUAGGCGGUUUAGCAAGUCAGAUGUGAAAGCCCUGGGCUCAACCCGGGAAGUGCAUUUGAAACUGCUUCACUAGAGUAUGGGAGAGGAGAUUGGAAUUCCUGGUGUAGAGGUGAAAUUCGUAGAUAUCAGGAGGAACACCCGUGGCGAAGGCGAUUCUCUGGACCAAUACUGACGCUGAGACGCGAAAGCGUGGGGAGCAAACAGGAUUAGAAACCCCGGUAGUCC